rnacentral:rRNA from 2 species
AUGGGAGCUUGCUCCCUGAUGUUAGCGGCGGACGGGUGAGUAACACGUGGGUAACCUGCCUGUAAGACUGGGAUAACUCCGGGAAACCGGGGCUAAUACCGGAUGCUUGUUUGAACCGCAUGGUUCAAACAUAAAAGGUGGCUUCGGCUACCACUUACAGAUGGACCCGCGGCGCAUUAGCUAGUUGGUGAGGUAAUGGCUCACCAAGGCAACGAUGCGUAGCCGACCUGAGAGGGUGAUCGGCCACACUGGGACUGAGACACGGCCCAGACUCCUACGGGAGGCAGCAGUAGGGAAUCUUCCGCAAUGGACGAAAGUCUGACGGAGCAACGCCGCGUGAGUGAUGAAGGUUUUCGGAUCGUAAAGCUCUGUUGUUAGGGAAGAACAAGUACCGUUCGAAUAGGGCGGUACCUUGACGGUACCUAACCAGAAAGCCACGGCUAACUACGUGCCAGCAGCCGCGGUAAUACGUAGGUGGCAAGCGUUGUCCGGAAUUAUUGGGCGUAAAGGGCUCGCAGGCGGUUCCUUAAGUCUGAUGUGAAAGCCCCCGGCUCAACCGGGGAGGGUCAUUGGAAACUGGGGAACUUGAGUGCAGAAGAGGAGAGUGGAAUUCCACGUGUAGCGGUGAAAUGCGUAGAGAUGUGGAGGAACACCAGUGGCGAAGGCGACUCUCUGGUCUGUAACUGACGCUGAGGAGCGAAAGCGUGGGGAGCGAACAGGAUUAGAUACCCUGGUAGUCCACGCCGUAAACGAUGAGUGCUAAGUGUUUAGGGGGUUUCCGCCCCUUAGUGCUGCAGCUAACGCAUUAAGCACUCCGCCUGGGGGAGUACGGUCGCAAGACUGAAACUCAAAGGAAUUGACGGGGGGCCCGCACAAGCGGUGGAAGCAUGUGGUUUUAAUUCGAAGCAACGCGAAAGAACCUUACCAGGUCUUGACAUCCUCUGACAAUCCUAGAAGAUAGGACGUCCCC